AUUGAACGCUGGCGGCAUGCUUUACACAUGCAAGUCGAACGGCAGCGCGGGCUUCGGCCUGGCGGCGAGUGGCGAACGGGUGAGUAAUGCAUCGAAACGUGCCCAGUAGUUGGGGAUAGCCCGGCGAAAGCCGGAUUAAUACCGCAUACGACCUGAGGGUGAAAGCGGGGGACCGAAAGGCCUCGCGCUAUUGGAGCGGCCGAUGUCGGAUUAGCGAGUUGGUGGGGAAAAGGCUUACCAAGGCGACGAACCGAAGCUGUCCUGAGGGGACGACCAGCCACCUGGGACUGAGAAACGGGCCCGACCCCCACGGGGGGGCGCCGGGGGGAAUUUUGCGAAAAGGGGGAAAACCGUAACCAGGACAGCCGGGGGGGGGAAGAAGGGCCUCGGGUUUGAAAACCGUUUUUUUCGGGAAGAAAAUCCUCUGGGGUAACCCCCCGGGGGGUGACGGGACCCGAAAAAAAAGCCACGGCUAACUCCGUG
rnacentral:rRNA from 1 species